CAGCAGCCGCGGUAAUACAGAGGGUGCAAGCGUUAAUCGGAAUUACUGGGCGUAAAGCGCGCGUAGGUGGUUUGUUAAGUUGGAUGUGAAAUCCCCGGGCUCAACCUGGGAACUGCAUUUGUGACUGGCAGGCUAGAGUAUGGCAGAGGGGGGUGGAAUUCCGCGUGUAGCAGUGAAAUGCGUAGAUAUGCGGAGGAACACCGAUGGCGAAGGCAGCCCCCUGGGCCAAUACUGACGCUCAUGCACGAAAGCGUGGGGAGCAAACAGGAUUAGAUACCCGCGUAGUCCCUGUCUCUUAUAC
rnacentral:rRNA from 1 species